rfam:Felis catus isolate Cinnamon breed Abyssinian chromosome B2, whole genome shotgun sequence.
GCCUGGGUGGCUUCGUUGGUUAAGCACCUGACUUCGGCUCAGGUCAUGAUCUCACGGUUUAUGGGUUCAAACCCCAUGUCGGACU